rnacentral:ncRNA from 1 species
UUUCAAAGGCAAACCCGCCGAAAGACGGGGACGCAAAGCCAUGGGUCUACGGCUUUUUUAGCUAUGACAGCCGGUUGCCGC